CCUACGGGUGGCAGCAGUAGGGAAUCUUCCACAAUGGGCGAAAGCCUGAUGGAGCAACGCCGCGUGGGUGAAGAAGGUCUUCGGAUCGUAAAACCCUGUUGUUAGAGAAGAAAGUGCGUGAGAGUACCUGUUCCCGUUUCGACGGUAUCUAACCAGAACGCAUCGGCUCACUCCAGCCCGGCAGCCGCGGUAAUACGGGGGAUGCGAGCGUUGUCCGGAUUUAUUGGGUUAAAGGGGUGCGCAGGCGGCGAGUUAAGUCAGCGGUAAAAUUUCGGGGCUCAACCCCGACAAGCCGUUGAAACUGGCGGGCUAGAGUGGGCGAGAAGUAGGCGGAAUGCGUGGUGUAGCGGUGAAAUGCAUAGAUAUCACGCAGAACUCCGAUUGCGAAGGCAGCAUACCGGCGCCCAACUGACGCUCAGGCACGAAAGCGUGGGUAUCGAACAGGAUUAGAUACCCUUGUAGUC
rnacentral:rRNA from 1 species